UACGGAGGGUGCAAGCGUUAUCCGGAUUCACUGGGUUUAAAGGGCGCGUAGGCGGCCCGCUAAGUCGAACGUGAAAUCCCCGAGCUCAACUCGGGAACUGCGUCCGAUACUGGUGGGCUUGAAUCCGGGAGAGGGAUGCGGAAUUCCAGGUGUAGCGGUGAAAUGCGUAGAUAUCUGGAGGAACACCGGUGGCGAAGGCGGCAUCCUGGACCGGCAUUGACGCUGAGGCGCGAAAGCUAGGGGAGCAAACGGG
rnacentral:rRNA from 1 species